rnacentral:tRNA from 1 species
GGGGAUGUAGCUAAAAUAGUAGAGCGCUCGCUUUGAUUGCAAGAGGUACGGGGUUCGAUACCCCGCAUCUCCA